AUUGAACGCUGGCGGCAUGCCUUACACAUGCAAGUCGAACGGUAACAGGUCUUCGGAUGCUGACGAGUGGCGAACGGGUGAGUAAUACAUCGGAACGUGCCCGAUCGUGGGGGAUAACGGAGCGAAAGCUUUGCUAAUACCGCAUACGAUCUACGGAUGAAAGCAGGGGACCGCAAGGCCUUGCGCGGACGGAGCGGCCGAUGGCAGAUUAGGUAGUUGGUGGGAUAAAAGCUUACCAAGCCGACGAUCUGUAGCUGGUCUGAGAGGACGACCGGCCACACUGGGACUGAGACACGGCCCAGACUCCUACGGGAGGCAGCAGUGGGGAAUUUUGGACAAUGGGCGAAAGCCUGAUCCAGCCAUGCCGCGUGCAGGAUGAAGGCCUUCGGGUUGUAAACUGCUUUUGUACGGAACGAAAAGACUCUUUCUAAUAAAGAGGGUCCAUGACGGUACCGUAAGAAUAAGCACCGGCUAACUACGUG
rnacentral:rRNA from 1 species